GACGAACGCUGGCGGCGUGCUUAACACAUGCAAGUCGAGCGAGAAGUUCUGAACAGAUUCUUCGGAUGAACUGUCAAACGGAAAGCGGCGGACGGGUGAGUCUCGCGUAGGCAACCUGCCCCAUACAAAGGGAUAGCAUUUGGAAACGAAUAUUAAUACCUUAUGAUACUUAACUAGUGCAUGCUAGGGAGGUCAAAGGUUUAUCGGUAUGGGAUGGGCCUGCGUCUGAUUAGCUAGUUGGUGAGGUAACGGCUCACCAAGGCGACGAUCAGUAGCCGGAGUGGGUGGCGGAACGGCCACAGUGUGACUUAGACCCGGUCCAAACUCCCACGGGAGGCAGCAGUGGGGAAUAGUGCACAACGGGGGAAGCCCUGAUGCAGCAACGCCGCGUGAACGCUGCAGUCCUUUGGGUCGUAAAGUUCUCUUCUAGGUGAUGAAGACUGACGGUAACCUAGGAGAAAGCCCCGGCUAACUCCGUG
rnacentral:rRNA from 1 species